rnacentral:lncRNA from 1 species
GUUGGGCACUGGCGGCUAACAGAACGCGUAAGGGACGGCGUUAUAUACCUAGGGAGGAGCGAGUAUGCCCUUGCUGCGGCACUGGUAGCCACAUCGAGGAUGAGAAACACAUUUUGCUGGACUGCCCGGUUUACGACGGAAUCAGAUCUGAUAUGGGCUUUCCACGCUUCGAACAUAUGAAGGACGCUAUGAAGUGGGAACCUGAACGCCUGGCAAGGAUGCUGGAACGUAUAUGGUCUCACCGCAACUCUAUCGUUCCCUUUGGUCGUUAGUAUACUUCAUCACUUGUUUCGCUGGAAGUGCGAGGUAGGAUGGUGCUUAUAGGCGAUUUGGCAGCCCUUGAGCCCUCGGCUCGUACUAGGGUGGUUUGCAGGUACGGGGAACGCACCCACGACCAUAUGACAACAACAACAACAACAACAACAACAAAGACUGGGUGACGCUGUGUGUGAGUUGUGCCGGUCGGGUGCUGCCUCAAGGCAUCCCUAGCCCCGUCGGUGAACUGAUAGCUGCUAGCCUAGUCCGUGCCCGGCCCCCAUCGCGUGUGCUUAAGAGGUGGUUAGCGUGCGUUUCUUGAACCCUGCCCGCUGCCCCCCAACAGAGAAUCAGGUGAUAGACCGAGCUUCCUAAUAGGGCCUCGUGCAUUAGUAGGGGGGGUAGAGUCUGUACAGGGUCUUGGAGUUUCC